AAUCGAUUGUAGUAGUUCGAUGGUUGGAUUUAUUAAUAUUCCGUAGGGAUCGUCAUAUAAUCGAGCAUAAGGAGAGAUACUUCUGUCCACGGUGCAACAGCUCGUUCAGCAA